rnacentral:rRNA from 1 species
UACAGAGGGUGCGAGCGUUGUCCGGAAUCACUGGGCGUAAAGGGCGCGUAGGUGGCGACCCAAGUCGAUGGUGAAAGCUCGCCGCUCAACGGCGAGUCGGCCACCGAUACUGGGUUGCUUGAGCACUGUAGAGGCUAAUGGAAUUCCGGGUGUAGCGGUGGAAUGCGUAGAGAUCCGGAGGAACACCGAUGGCGAAGGCAGGUCUCUGGGCCGAUACUGACGCUGAGGAGCGAAAGCGUGGGGAGCGAACGAGG